GACAGAGGGUGCAAACGUUGUUCGGAAUUACUGGGCGUAAAGCGUGUGUAGGCGGUCUCUUAAGUCGGAUGUGAAAUCCCACGGCUCAACCGUGGAAGUGCAUCCGAAACUGCAUCGCUCGAGUCUCGGAGAGGAAGGUGGAAUGCUUGGUGUAGAGGUGAAAUUCGUAGAUAUCAAGAGGAACACCGGUGGCGAAGGCGGCCAACUGGACGAAUACUGACGCUGAGACACGAAAGCGUGGGGAGCAAACAGG
rnacentral:rRNA from 1 species